rnacentral:rRNA from 1 species
UUACAUCCCUUAUCGAGGAUCCAUUGGAGGGCAAGUCUGGUGCCAGCAGCCGCGGUAAUUCCAGCUCCAAUAGCGUAUAUUAAAGUUGUUGCAGUUAWAACGCUCGUARUCGGAYUUCGRAGCRCSCYCACGGGSSSGGYUUUUGCCUUGUUKCYAGUGRGRGUUUGUCUYCUUUUGUCUGGGACGCGUUGUGCAGGCCUUUACUGUCUCUGCGCGUUUACCUGCGGGCCGACCGUUUACUGUGAAGAAAGUAAAGUGUUCAAAGCAGGCCAAUGCCUUGAAUAUGUGAGCAUGGAAUAAUAGAAUAGGACUUGGGCUCUAUUUUGUUGGUUUCCAGUGACCAAGUAAUGAUUAAUAGGGACGGUUGGGGGCAUUCGUAUUUCAUUGUCAGAGGUGAAAUUCUUGGAUUGAUGGAAGACGUACAACUGCGAAAGCAUCUGCCAUGGAUGUUUUCAUUGAUCAAGAACGAAAGUUAGGGGAUCGAAGACGAUCAGA